CUCUGAGUGUGUUUAUUUUUCUAUAUGUCUGCUCAUGCAGGUUUCCUGAACCCCUGCAAUUUUCCUAGCUCCUCUCUGCUAUCUGACAUUUAUUCUUUGUGUACUUUUCCAUCUCAUUAAUUUAUUAAACAUCAAUGGUGAUUCAGGUCUUUGAUCCAUUUAAAAAUUAACCACCUAUGACUGUCUCCUAACCAGUUCUUGAGCCAUGGCAAUAUUCCCUCUCUCCUGGAUAUUUUGGCUAAUCAAAAGGUCCUUGCCUGUGCCAGUGCCUGAGAUGAUUUAAAAGAUAAUAUGAUUUUUUUUGAGUUUCCUAUAUUAAUUUCAGAUUUGCUUGUAGAAAAGUGCAGUUUUGCUCUGUAGAAAUGUGUUGUUCAGCAAGAUGCGUGUAACUUUUGCUGACUUCCCAAAAUAAUCAGAUUUUUUUGGCAAGGAAAAAAAAAAUGUGGCCGGGAAAUGGAUUUGUCUUGGGCAUUUCUCAAAGAAGGGGGUUAAUGGGAAAGGAUCUCUGCACUAGCAGCUCUGUUGCUCUCUCCUUGCAGAGCUUUUGGGUGAAACCAUCUGGCCCUGAGAAUCUGCACAUUUCUGUGUGCUGCUGAUUCAGGUGAUGCUGCACCCUUCCUCUGCCAGAAACUCCUGGGUAUCCCUCAUGCCAAACCCAUCAGCUCAGUAUCUUCCUUUACAUUCCCAGAUCUUUUAUUUUUUAUGCUUUCUUUCCUCCUACUGGAGGUAAAACACAUCCCUACAAUGUACCACAGCCCCAAAAACCUAAUGGUGCACUCAGAGUUCACUGCUGAACUUUGGUCCCCAGAAGGUGGGAGCUUCCCUCCUUGGAAGGAGCCCUUCCAAAAGCUGCCUCUGAGUUGCUAAGAAACAGCUUGUCACUGUGGCACAGGCUGUAGGCAGCUCUGUACAGGGCAGGUGACUGAAAUAGAAGAUUUGCCACUCUCUGGAACUGAGCAUGGUCCCUAUCCCAGAAAACUUGUUCACUUCAGACCAAUUCCUCACUACCAAAUACCCAAGAGACCUUUCUCCACUGAAAUCAGACAAGGAUCUCAGCUUCAUCUUCAUGUGAGGGAGUCUGACUUACAUUUGGAAGACAUAAUAAGGUCGGUCCUAAUUUUUUAUGUGUGCUUUCAGCUGCAGUGCCAAGCAGCAAGUGGUGUAAAUCUCUCCAGUGUGAGCUUUACUUAUCAUUUAUCAACCACGUGUGAGCACUAA
rnacentral:lncRNA from 1 species